GGGGCUUGGCCUGGAGGUUGGCACAUGCCUGGUUUCCUUCGGGGAGAACAGUCCUUGUUUCGUCGUGGGAUUUGGCGUGGAAGGCCGAAGACUAUCGCGUGGUGAGUGCGUUGUGCCUAUCUGGUAGUUUUGGCUGCUUUGAUGACCUUUUUCUGACUGCGUAAUUCGCUUGCUCUGCAGUGUAUCCAAACGGUGCUUUGGUGCCUCGGUUGCCAGAGGGGUUGCGUUGCCCUGUGGGAAGCUGCCAGCUGACUCGUGGGGUGGCUAGCUUUGUGGCAGUGUCUCUGGAUGCUAGCAGCGGAAUGUGGCGCGUUUGUGUUCGGAGCUCACAAUGGAUAGUGGCCUUGUAGAACCAUCUCCAGCCUAACGAUCUGCGGCUACUUGGAGAUUCUGUCCCUCGACUUCCCACGGCGUCGGUGGCUGCUGUUUUGUUUCGGUCCGGCUCACGCUCGGGAUUCGUCAACCCGGCGGGCUCUCGCUACCUUUGAUAAGGGAACGCACAUCUGUGACUGUGUUUCUGAGUGCCUCUUGUCCAUGUUGUUUAUUUCUGUGGUCCAUGUGUAUAUCAAAUACUCGAAAGCACUGAUAAGUCCGUCUCCCAGAACGUGCCUUCUGCCAAUCUUAUUGUAACAUAGGGGAGCGUGAUUUGGAGUGUACUAUUUGUUCCCCUUUGUGGGUUGGGCUAUCGCAUGGUACUUGGUGGGGUCCAGUCUGCAUUGUCCCCCCACAUUUAGUAUUUACAUUUAAGCAUUGCCACAAUACGAGUGGCAGGAGUUUGUGCGCAUUACUUACUGUGAAUAAUUGUAUCACUGUCUCUUCUUCUCUCUCUCACCUCUCUCUCUUUCCUAUCGGACAGUAUUAACAUUUAAGCAUUGCCACAAUACUAGUGGCAGGAGUUUGUGCGCAUUACUUACUGUGAAUAAUUGUAUCACUGUCUCUUCUUCUCUCUCUC